rnacentral:lncRNA from 1 species
AGAAGAAGAGGGAUAAGGCCCAUGGGUCGGAGGGGAGUAGCACUACCCCUAGGCAAACCAUACAAACACCCCACACCUCCCAUCCCCCACCAAGAAGGGUCUAUCGGCAAUGAUUGGGGAAUCCUCAUCUAAUCGGCUUAUGGAGCCUUCACCCAUAGGCUGUGAACGGCCAUUGGUGGUGAGGUGCCAUUGUAGGGAGGGGGUCAUGAAGUAAAAAUUCGUCUGAUCGCAUCGAAUGCCAGGAGGAAGAAUAGAUUAGUAAUUAAAAUUUUUCAUAAUGUUUAUGAAUUCUCAUCUUGAUUUGCAGCGGAAAAAGGAUCAAGGAUGAAGAAGCUCUUCAAUCAAUAUACUUCGCGAGAUCCGGAUGCAUGGAUCCUCUACUUCGCAUAUACGCCAAACUCUGUAGAAUAGAAGGAUGAACGUCUUCUUUGGAGAGGAAGGAGAUGAACCUUUGAGAUCUGAUCUCAAGGUCUUGGAAUAGCCCACACACCGCUACAAAGGGAGGGAGGAUGCCAAGAGGAGAGAGACACCUAGGGAGAG